CAUAAGUGAAUAACUGUGUUUGACAUAAUAAAUAUGCUAACAAUAACAUUAAAUACAUAAUUCAGUAAGCUCUAUUCCUUCAGUAAUCAAAAAUUACAUCGACCAGUAUAUCGAUUAAACAUAGGGAUCAAAAGAAUUAAGGGGCCAAUUCUGGGAUAAAUUAGAAUGCUAUGUUACAGAGAUCUCUACAGAUAAUGAAAUAGAAAACUAUAAUCAAGCUUAUCUGAACCUACGGUAUCCAAUUAUGAGGUGUGGCAAGCAAGGCAAAUAAAGCGAUGCUGCAAAGGUUCAUUCAAAACAAGAUGAAGGGCAUUGAAUUGAGCAAAAUUAGUAAUAAUUGAUUAAUUCUAAUAAGUAUAUGAAAAUACUGAUGAAGAUUCUGAACCACUUCUCAACAAAGCAGUUAAAUUUCCGAAGCUUUGUCCAAUAACAUUCCAAGAUUUUGAGACUGCUUUGAAACGAGUUCGAGCUAGUAUAUCAGACAUGGACUUAGACCAAUACGUGAAGUGGAAUAAUUUAUACGGUUCUGGAUAAAUAAUUCUGUCUGAAAUCAAAAACACCAAACAAAAGGAAGAAAAUGGCCAAAAAGCAAUCUCCCUCUUCUGUUCGGCCCUGGACAGAUUCCACUUGGUAGCUUCAGGGCCGCACAAGGACACCCACGUCGCUCAAGAGGCCCUCAGAUCCUGCAUGGCCUUCACUGGAAAUACUUUCAGAAAUCCAAAAUCUACUAAUCAAAAUAACAUUGAAGAAGAAGACGUUAUGCCCAGAGUGGCUCCGACGUGUACUAUCACUGAAAUCGACUAAAAAAAAAAUAAUAUUUGCUAGAAGAACAAAUGGGUCAAUUGUAAUAAAUAGAUAAAAUUGUUACGGGUCUAUAUUCGUAUGAGUUUGUAGUAACAAACUGUUUAAAAACUAUGCAUUUGCUGUAUGUUUUAUACAUAAAUCUUAAUCUCCAAAUAACAAUUUUAUCACAAGUGCAUCGAAUAUAGACCCCUAACAUAACAUUUCUAUUUUAUCCGAGAA